CAGCAGCCGCGGGAACACGAAGGGUGCAAGCGUUAAUCGGAAUUACUGGGCGUAAAGCGUGCGUAGGCGGUGAGUUAAGUCUGCUGUGAAAUCCCCGGGCUCAACCUGGGAAUGGCAGUGGAUACUGGCUCGCUAGAGUGUGUCAGAGGAUGGUGGAAUUCCCGGUGUAGCGGUGAAAUGCGUAGAGAUCGGGAGGAACAUCAGUGGCGAAGGCGGCCAUCUGGGACAACACUGACGCUGAGGCACGAAAGCGUGGGGAGCAAACAGGAUUAGAUACCCCCGUAGUCCCUGUCUCUUAUAC
rnacentral:rRNA from 1 species